CCUACGGGUGGCUGCAGUGAGGAAUAUUGGUCAAUGGACGAGAGUCUGAACCAGCCAAGUAGCGUGAAGGAUGACUGCCCUAUGGGUUGUAAACUUCUUUUAUAUGGGAAUAAAAUGUUCCACGUGUGGGAUUUUGUGUGUACCAUAUGAAUAAGGAUCGGCUAACUCCGUGCCAGCAGCCGCGGUAAUACGGAGGAUGCGAGCGUUAUCCGGAUUUAUUGGGUUUAAGGGGAGCGUAGGUGGUUUGUUAAGUCAGUUGUAAAAGUUUGGGGCCAAACCGUACAUGGCCGUUGAAACUGGCAGUCUCGAGUAGGAGAGAGGUGGGCGGAAGUCGUGGUGUAGCGGUGAAAUGCUUAGAUAUCACGAAGAACGCCGAUUGCGAAGGCAGCGUGCCGG
rnacentral:rRNA from 1 species